rnacentral:rRNA from 1 species
CCUACGGGAGGCUGCAGUGAGGAAUAUUGGUCAAUGGGCGGGAGCCUGAACCAGCCAAGCCGCGUGAGGGACGACGGUCCUAUGGAUUGUAAACCUCUUUUGUCGGGGAACAAAGGCGCCCACGUGUGGGCGGAUGAGUGUACCCGAAGAAAAAGCAUCGGCUAACUCCGUGCCAGCAGCCGCGGUAAUACGGAGGAUGCGAGCGUUAUCCGGAUUUAUUGGGUUUAAAGGGUGCGUAGGCGGGACGUCAAGUCAGCGGUAAAAUGGCCGGGCCUAACGGCGGACAGGCCGUUGAUACGGGCAGUCGUGAGUGUGGGAGAGGUAGGCGGAAUGCGUGGUGUAGCGGUGAAAUGCGUAGAUAUCAGGCAGAACACCGAUUGCGAAGGCAGCUUACCGGCGCACAACUGACGCUGAGGCACGAAAGCGUGGGUAUCGAACAGGAUUAGAUACCCUUGUAGUC